rnacentral:rRNA from 1 species
AUUGAACGCUGGCGGCACGCCUUACACAUGCAAGUCGAACGGUAACAGGUCUUCGGAUGCUGACGAGUGGCGAACGGGUGAGUAAUACAUCGGAACGUGCCCGAGAGUGGGGGAUAACGAGGCGAAAGCUUUGCUAAUACCGCAUACGAUCUCAGGAUGAAAGCAGGGGACCGCAAGGCCUUGCGCUCACGGAGCGGCCGAUGGCAGAUUAGGUAGUUGGUGGGAUAAAAGCUUACCAAGCCGACGAUCUGUAGCUGGUCUGAGAGGACGACCAGCCAACCGGGGACUGAGACACGGCCCAGACUCCUACGGGAGGCAGCAGUGGGGAAUUUUGGACAAUGGGCGCAAGCCUGAUCCAGCCAUGCCGCGUGCAGGAUGAAGGCCUUCGGGUUGUAAACUGCUUUUGUACGGAACGAAAAGACUCCUUCUAAUAAAGGGGGUCCAUGACGGUACCGUAAGAAUAAGCACCGGCUAACUACGUGCCAGCCGCCGCAGUAACAC